rnacentral:rRNA from 1 species
UACGUAGGCCUCGAGCGUUAUCCGGAUUUAUUGGGCGUAAAGAGCAUGUAGGAGGUCUCGCGCGUCUUUGGUUUAAGACCACCGCCUAACGGUGGGAAUGCCGAGGAUACGGCGAGACUGGAGGAGGUUAGAGGUGCAUAGAACACAUGGUGUAGGGGUGAAAUCCGUUGAGAUCAUGUGGAAUACCAAAGGCGAAGGCAGUGCACUGGGACCUUCCUGACGCUGAGAUGCGAAAGCGUGGGGAGCAAAAAGG